rnacentral:rRNA from 1 species
AUACGGAGGGUGCGAGCGUUAAUCGGAAUUACUGGGCGUAAAGGGUGCGUAGGCGGCUUGAUAAGUCGGAUGUGAAAGCCCCGGGCUUAACCUGGGAAUUGCAUUCGAUACUGUCAGGCUAGAGUAUGUCAGAGGUUGGCGGAAUUCCUGGUGUAGUGGUGAAAUGCGUAGAUAUCAGGAGGAACACCAGUGGCGAAGGCGGCUAACUGGGGCAAUACUGACGCUGAGGCACGAAAGCGUGGGGAGCAAACAGGAUUAGAAACCCCAGUAGUCC